GGGGGGGGGGGGGGGGGGGCCUGGGGCGGGCAGGUCGAGCGAACAGAUGAGGGGCUUGCUCCUUUGACGUUAGCGGCGGACGGGUGAGUCACACGUGGAUAACCUACCUAUAAGACUGGGAUAACUUCGGGAAACCGGAGCUAAUACCGGAUAACAUAUUGAACCGCAUGGUUCAAUAGUGAAAGGCGGCUUUGCUGUCACUUAUAGAUGGAUCCGCGCCGUAUUAGCUAGUUGGUAAGGUAACGGCUUACCAAGGCAACGAUACGUAGCCGACCUGAGAGGGUGAUCGGCCACACUGGAACUGAGACACGGUCCAGACUCCUACGGGAGGCAGCAGUAGGGAAUCUUCCGCAAUGGGCGAAAGCCUGACGGAGCAACGCCGCGUGAGUGAUGAAGGUCUUCGGAUCGUAAAACUCUGUUAUCAGGGAAGAACAAAUGUGUAAGUAACUGUGCACAUCUUGACGGUACCUGAUCAGAAAGCCACGGCUAACUACGUG
rnacentral:rRNA from 1 species